ensembl:lncRNA
CAGCCCUGCGUCAUGCAACACCCAUGGAGGUGCUGGGAGGGUGACCCAGCAGCGCCUUUUCUCAGAGGGUGGGAGGGCAAUUGAGCAACAUGAAAGCAAUGUGCUCAAGCGGGAAGGUGGAGCUCUGUGGCUGGAAAUGCGCUUUAUGGUAUUGAAUGACUGAUAUGUGAAACUCAUGGCUGCUGGUUAUCUGUCCCGGAGGGGUCAGCAGAAGAGCGAAGCAGGAGGCAGAGCAGCCCUAUGGGAACUCUCUGAGGCUGCUGACCCGGCUGGGUCUGUCUCCCACCUCCCCCAGCCCCAGGGCGCGGUGCCGCAGCCCCUGCGGAGGGGACGGGGAGCGCUCCUCCAAUCAGCCCCUCCUGACGGCUUCCUGAUGGAUGGCACCAACCCUCCUAUUUGAGGGAAGCGUCCUCUGGAAGGGCUGCAUCGGUAAUAACUCUGAAGAAACGGAAUAGCGGCUGAUAAACGCUUCCUUUAAUGUGACUCCGGACGCUGAGCGUUGCUGUGUGUGGGCUGCUCGCGUCUUUGCAAGAGAGCGGCACGGGAGAACCGAACGGCGCUGGCGUACGGUACGGGGUGAAACGAGCGGCUCGAGGGCUCGCGGCCGCCCAGUAGGGCGGGAGAGCCUCCGUUCAGAGCAGCCCCCGGCACUGCUGCCUGCCUGCCCCUGAUCUCACCCGACACCGCAUCGAACAGACUGCGAGCCCAAGGUCAGACAGAGUAGCUCUGUCGGGCAGCGCUCGGUGUCAGCAGUAGCAGCGUCACACGAGAAACCAAGAGAGAACACAGGCGGGCGUGCUGACGGGCUUCGGGUUCGUCCCCUCACCACCGAGGUGCGAGCCCUGCCACCUAACAGCCACCAGCCGUUGUGAAGGAGGAC